AGCGAACGCUGGCGGCAGGCCUAACACAUGCAAGUCGAACGAUCCUUCGGGAUAGUGGCGGACGGGUGAGUAACACGUGGGAACGUGCCCUUUGGUUCGGAAUAACUCAGGGAAACUUGAGCUACUACCGGAAGAGCCCUUCGGGGGAAAGAUUUAUCGCCAUUGGAGCGGCCCGCGUUGGAUUAGCUAGUUGGUGGGGUAAAGGCCAACCAAGGCUACGAUCCAUAGCUGGUCUGAGAGGAUGAUCAGCCACACUGGGACUGAGACACGGCCCAGACUCCUACGGGAGGCAGCAGUGGGGAAUCUUGCGCAAUGGGCGAAAGCCUGACGCAGCCAUGCCGCGUGAAUGAUGAAGGUCUUAGGAUUGUAAAAUUCUUUCACCGGGGACGAUAAUGACGGUACCCGGAGAAGAAGCCCCGGCUAACUUCGUGCCAGCCGCCGCCGUAACAC
rnacentral:rRNA from 1 species